GACGAACGCUGGCGGCGUGCUUAACACAUGCAAGUCGAACGAUGAAGCUAGAGCUUGCUCUGGUGAAUUAGUGGCGAACGGGUGAGUAACACGUGAGUAACCUGCCCCGAACUCUGGGAUAACUGCUGGAAACGGUAGCUAAUACUGGAUACGACCUACGAAGGCAUCUUCUGUAGGUGGAAAGAAUUUCGGUUCGGGAUGGACUCGCGGCCUAUCAGCUUGUUGGUGAGGUAAAAGCUCACCAAGGCGACGAUCAGUAGCUGGUUCGAGAGGAUGACCAGCCACACUGGGACUGAGAUACGGCUCAGACUCCUACGGGAGGCAGCAGUGAGGAAUCUUCCACAAUGGGCGCAAGCCUGAUGGAGCAAUACCGCGUGCAGGAAGACGCUUUUCGGAGUGUAAACUGCUUUUGUCGUCGAAGAUUAUGACGGUAGACGAAGAAUAAGGACCGGCUAACUACGUGCCAGCAGCCGCCGUAA
rnacentral:rRNA from 1 species